GAGUACCAUUUCUGUCUGGAUGAGACAUGGGUCAAGAAUCCUGUCCUGGGAUGUGGGAAAGGGAGGCCCCCACAUCUGUUCCUGUCAGGCCCCCAUCAGGGGACUUGGGCGGUGUUCCUGUUAUCUGCUCAAGAUCCCAAUACUGUAAAAGUAUUUGUUCACUGAAAGGGUGUAAGUGUGGAUGUUUAUUUGAUGUUUGUAUGUCUACUUGGGUAUAAUUAUUUGUUCGUGUAAGUGUGGAAGUCUGUGAAAAAAAAA